AUUGAACGCUGGCGGCAGGACUAACACAUGCAAGUCGAGCGAGCGGCGGACGGGUGAGUAAUGUAUGGGGCCUGCCAGAUUGAGGGGGAUAACUACUGUAAACGGUGGCUAAUACCGCAUAAUGUCUGCUAACCCAUAUGGGAUUAGCUAGUAGGUAAGGUAAUGGCUUACCUAGGCGACGAUCCCUCGAUGGUCUGAGAGAAAGUUCAGCCACACUGGGACUGAGACACGGCCCAGACGCCUACGGAGGCACCAGUGGGGAAUAUUGCACGAUGGGCGCAAGCCAAAUGCAGCCAUGCCGCGUGUAUGAAGAAGGCCCUAGAGUUGUAAAGUACGUUCAGUCGGGUGGCGUGACCGACAGAAGAAGCACCGGCUAACUCCGUGCCAGCAGCCGCGGUAAUUC
rnacentral:rRNA from 1 species